CAGGAAGUGGGAAAACAGCCUGAGCUCCCGGGUGUCGGCCAGGGCGCCCGGCGGGACUGCUGGGGCUGCCCACUUGAGAGCCCCUGCAGCGUCAGCUCUGCAGGGCCCAGGGGCACCGUCUGGGCGGCGGUGGGUCGAGGUGACGCCAGGGGAACGAAGACCCAGGGAUUUUAAAGGGCUUUUCCCGGGGAUCUAAGCUUCUGCAGGAUCCGAUCUCCCCCAGGCCCGUAGCAUUCGACCCGGGCUGGGCCGGUCAUCGACCCCCCUUUUCUGGACCAGCUGGGCACCAGCAGGGAGGUACUUAAACCUCCGUGGGACACACACCAGGCCUGACCGGCUGUGUUCCCCAAAACCACACGCCAAAGCCUGACCCCAGGCGCCAGUGGGGGAGCUGGUCACGGCAGCCUCGCCGGCGCCGGGAGAGGGCCGGCGGGAAGACGGGAGCCUCAGCGACGCCGGCAGAGUCCCUCCCUCCGGGUCCUGGGCCUCGCGCCCCCAUCCCACCCUCAGUCCUCGGGCUGAGGGGGGGGGGCAGGGGCCCGCCCCUCCCAGAAGUGCCGGGAGAACAGAGAAGGGACCUGGCAGGAAAGAAGCUGACCCAGCGGUUUCCAUGACAACAGCGGUGCAAAGCCCUGUCCACGCUCUAUGACCACAGGGGCCAAAGUGCAGUCCGGGCCACACAGGCACCGUGGCUGUGAGAAAACCAAGCGCAGAGAGGUCACCCACUCACCGAGGUCACACGGCAGUGUGCAGUGACGGCAGCCUGCUGGGUCCACGGGGCUGUCGAGGCGGCCAGAGCUGCAAGCGGAUGGACCAGGACUCCGUGGCGGGAACCGGCUGACCACUGGGGCAGCCGACACCCAGGACAGAACUGGGGGUCCCAGGAAGUCACCAGCCAGCUCCUCGGAGUGGAACUGUGUCCCCCAAAAGGGAUCUGUUGGCAUCCUCGCCCCUGUUCCUCAGCACGUGACCUUGUUUGGAGGUAGUGUCUUUGCAGAGGUCCUCAGAGUGAGAGGAGGUCCCUGGGUGGACCCUGGUCCAGGCAACGGACACACCGCCCUCCCACAGGGACGCCGCGUGAAGCUGGGCGUGCAGACACCGCCGAGAGCUGAGAGGCCGGCGCUGCCCCCGGGUCUUUGGGUCCGGCCUCAGCACUGCGAGAUGCGAGUGUCUGUGAGCCAGUCGCGUCUCAGCCCCGGGAGGCUCUGGGCUGCUGUCUGGAUGCUCGGCAGGUACACACCUGAGCUCUCACCUGGGAAGGGAGCGGGCAAGGAGGUCCGAGGGGGCUUCAACCCUGCAGAGCUGCGGUGACGGCCAGACUGGGCCCGUGGGUGUCAGCAGGGACCCACCAGGCACCCACCAGACCUCCAGGGCCUCUGCCGGGAGCGCAGAGCGGAGCAGGUACCGUCUCGUGUCAGCCUGGUGGACACGGCUCCCAGCCCCGGGCUCACCCAGGCCCCUGGCAGCACCCAGGCCUCACCGGCAGGCCUAUCCUGGGGGCUGCUGGGCAGAUGAGGGGCAGUGCUCACAGGCCGACUCAGCGCAGCCCGAGUGGGGGCCGGCGGGGCUCCCGGCCAGGUCUUCGGGCACCGAGUCCGACGCCCUCCCCUAUGACGUCGUUUCCAGCAGCUCAGGGCUCCGACCAGGACAGCACCUCCGCAAGCAGAUGUGUAACCAACCCACUACAUGCUCACGCAGAGGACCUAAGUUCUCCAACAACCACUGUUUCCUACACAAGGGAGCGGCCCCAGCUGGUGCGGCUCAGUGGACUGAGCACCGGCCUGUGAACCAAAGGGUCACCGGUUUGAGUCCCAGUCAGGGCACGUGCCUGGGUUGCAGACCAGGUCCCCAGGAGGGGGCGCGUGAGAGGCAACC